UACGAAGGGGGCUAGCGUUGCUCGGAAUGACUGGGCGUAAAGGGCGCGUAGGCGGAUGGCACAGUCAGAUGUGAAAUUCCCGGGCUUAACCUGGGGGCUGCAUUUGAUACGUGUGAUCUAGAGUGAGGAAGAGGGUCGUGGAAUUCCCAGUGCAGAGGUGAAAUUCGUAGAUAUUGGGAAGAACACCGGUGGCGAAGGCGGCGACCUGGUCCUUGACUGACGCUGAGGCGCGAAAGCGUGGGGAGCAAACAGG
rnacentral:rRNA from 1 species